GCGGCCGCUGAUCUACAUCUCAGCUGAUUAUACUGAACAGACGGAGGAGAGUGAGGCGCUGGACGAGCCUGUCUCUUGCCGUGCCGAAGACGCUGCGUCGGAAGACCGUCAGUUCCGGUUGGUGAAUCUGGCUGCUCUGACUCCGUCCAGCUGGCCGACGAGUGCGUGCCAAGACAGCCGCCGCCGCCGCCGCCGCGCGCGCGCCAAGACGGCCGUCUACCGGCGCCGAUGCCGCCACGCGCACGCUAGACGCCCGUCCACUGGUGUCACCGCCCCACGCGCGCGCACAGUCGGCAGCCGCCGCGUGUGCGUGCCCGCCCAGAAUAUGCGUUCUGCCGCCGUUGACUGCGGCUCGAGAUUCAUGUUCAAGGUUUAGGCAUACACUCAUUGUUAAUUGUCUACGUUCAUGAAGGUGCGUGGUGACAAAGAUGCCUCGUCUGUGGCAGCGGAUUUGCUUGUUCCGCCUCAACAUGUGCAAAGUUGUUAUGUAAACUGAUGCGCUCGGCAUUCGCCGUCCGCUCGCGCUGGUGGCGCGCGAACGAAUGCCUGGCCCUGUUCAUGCGGACCUGACGAGCGGCGGUAUGACGCAAUCACAUAGGCGGAUUACUUUUCACCGCGAAGAAAAUCAUUAUCAGCUGGCUUAAAAUUAUACAAUUGUUUGCCCUCAGUUCGCCAGGUAAUAUCAUUCUUUGAUCAUUCAUGCUGACUUGCGUGGCUGAUAUUUGAUAAUAUAUAGUGUGAAGCGUUC